GCCUCUAUAGCUCAGUGGUAGAGCGCUUGACGUGAGUUGAAACCGCACAUUAUUCCUAGUAAAUCAUUAACUAACAAGUAAAAAAGUUGUAUACGAUAGAUAUCAAGAGGUCCGUGGUUCAAUCCCGCGUGGAGGCA
rfam:Aspergillus oryzae RIB40 DNA, chromosome 4.